CGUCAAGCUAGUUUGGAAGCAGACAGUCCGGGUAACGUCCCGCAGGAUAUCGACAUUCAGCGUUCACUGAAGAGAACCAGACUCAUCACGAGUGAAAAUAACGAUUUGGGACCCAGAAAGGAGACUCCGCUGAGGUCUGGACAGAGUGGACCAUUUCGACAACUUCUCCUUUGACAAGGAUCAGGUGGUGAGGGCAGAACCAACAGACCAGACAGCUCUCCCACAGCCAGCCUCUGAACCUGCUCUACAGUCUGAAUAGCCCGGGUGAAGUUAAACUCUCCGUUGCUGGUGCACCAGAUGGCUGAGAACAGGAUAGGCUGAUGCCCUGGAAGCUAAGAGGGAAGACAAGGCCUGGUGAGAGCCACUACAGAGGAUCAUAGCCAUCGUUGGAAUUCUGGAAGGACGUGGGUGAAUAUCAAUCUGCCAAAUGAACUUUUUUAGCAUGCAUAUUCACAUCUGUAUAUUAAUUUUGAUAUGAUACUAUAUAUGACCUUGUUUGUUUGUUACUGGAAAGAAAUUAGCUGUGGACUUGACUUAAGCCUAUGUGCAUUUUCUAGAUGUUGAGCAUGAACAGAACUUUAAACAAUGAUUUAUUGGGUGACUUUUAUGGCGUUUUUCUAUCACCAGUAUGAACUCAACUCGGUUCGUCCGUGCUCCGUUUUCCAUUGCAGAUAGUACCCAGAAAUAUUACCCCUCAAUGUAGCUGGUCGUCAUAGCAACGCCACACACAACUGCCAUAACGUUCAAUGCGACACACAA